UACGUAGGUGGCAAGCGUUGUCCGGAAUCAUUGGGCGUAAAGCGCGCGUAGGCGGCUUGCCAGGUCCGAUGUGAAAACCCGGGGCUCAACUCCGGGCCUGCAUCGGAAACCGGCUUGCUAGAGUCUGGGAGAGGAGAGUGGAAUUCCUGGUGUAGCGGUGAAAUGCGUAGAUAUCAGGAGGAACACCGGUAGCGAAGGCGGCUCUCUGGAACAGUACUGACGCUGAGGCGCGAAAGCUAGGGGAGCGAACAGG
rnacentral:rRNA from 1 species